rnacentral:lncRNA from 1 species
UUCUCUUUGUCGGUCGAUUUAUCCUUUAUUAACCCAGUAACCGGUUGUGGAUAAUCUUCCAUGCGAGUAUAUUAUCUACGUUCUGACGGUAAUAGAUAAUAUAUCUCAUGCACUCUUUGGUCGAAGCUUUUUGUUCUUCCCUAGUUGAGUAAGAUUCGUAUCCCUGUUUUGGAAUCGAAUGUCCAUCCCUUAAUCGAGUUU